GGUGGAGCAUGUGGUUUAAUUCGAUGAUACGCGAGGAACUUACCUGGGCUCAAAUAGUAUGUUGACGUAUUCUGAAAGGGAUACUUCUUCGGACAAUAUACAAGGUGCUGCAUGGUUGUCGUCAGCUCGUGCCGUGAGGUGUCGGGUUAAGUCCCAUAACGAGCGCAACCCUACCUUUAGUUGCCAUCAGGUUAAGCUGGGGACGUCUAAAGGAACUGCCUACGCAAGUAGUGAGGAAGGCGGGGAUGACGUCAAAUCAGCACGGCCCUUACGUCCAGGGCUACACACGUGCUACAAUGGCCGAUACAGAGGGCAGCUACCUGGUGACAGGAUGCAAAUCUCCAAAGUCGGUCUCAGUUCGGAUCGGAGUCUGCAACCCGACUCCGUGAAGUUGGAUUCGCUAGUAAUCGCGCAUCAGCCAUGGCGCGGUGAAUACGUUCCCGGGCCUU
rnacentral:rRNA from 1 species